UACAGAGGUCUCAAGCGUUGUUCGGAUUCAUUGGGCGUAAAGGGUGCGUAGGCGGCGCGGUAAGUCGGGUGUGAAAUCUUGGAGCUUAACUCCGAAACUGCAUUCGAUACUGCCGUGCUUGAGGACUGGAGAGGAGACUGGAAUUUACGGUGUAGCGGUGAAAUGCGUAGAUAUCGUAAGGAAGACCAGUGGCGAAGGCGGGUCUCUAGUACGGUACUGACGCUGAGACGCGAAAGCGUGGGGAGCGAACAGG
rnacentral:rRNA from 1 species